CAUUCUUUAAUGGGCAAGCUCUCCAGCCUGCCAAGGGUUGGGAGAUCUCCCUUCUGCACCUCCCCAGCCCAGAGCUGUGCCACCUCGCUGACUGAAGAGGGCUAGCCGUCUUGGGCUCCUGGCAUCCCCCUCCUGGCGGCCAUGCAGGGUUUCCCCGCCCCCUGGGUCCCCCCUAUCCCAUGCCCACCUUUCUGCCCAAAGGUCUCGUUCUCAUGCUCUGCCUGCUCUCUUCUAGGCUGCGCAGGCUCCGAGCCCUCCUGGCUAGGCGGUCCAGCCGAGUGGCCCCCCUGGCCGCCCCAGGGGAGUCUGCAGCCUCCAGGCCAGCUGCCCCCCGGAGGUGGUGGGUCCUGUGCGGCCGCACCAACCGGGUGGGCCCUGCUCCUUCGCUGCCACUGGUUGGGGGCUGCAGCCGGCCAGAGCCAGCCGAGCCCCCUGUUGAGGAUGCUGGAGCUCCAACACCCAGCAGCCUCAUCAAGGCCAGGCUCCGCCUUGUGGAUAAGGCCAGACCGGAAAGUGAAGAAGAAGGGAAGGACCGGAGGGACCGGGUCACGUUCCUGAAGACCCUGAUCGAGGCCUGCAGGAACAGCCUCCAGAGAGGGGAACGCCGCCUUGCCUUCUCAAAGGGUUUGGCAGCCCAGGCCGUGCUGGAGGAGAUGGAGUAUACCUGGGAGGACCCCCUGCCUCCCUACCUCUUCUCCCUCUGCGCGGAGGCUCUCACCUUGCUGAGUCGGAUGAAGCCCUGCUUCUGCCAGAGCAGGGAACAUAAAAUCAUCUCCGGCUGCCUGUUCUGGAUGAGCGUGAUGCCAGAGCAAGGGCCACAGCAAGACCAGGAGGACCUGUUUCUGCCACCUGAGGAGGCCCUGCAGGGCCUGCUCAGAGCCCUCCUUUCUCAAAGGCCCAGCCUGGAGCACCUCAUCCAUAUCACUGAGGCCAUUAAUAGUGAGGUGGAGACCAAAGACGAGCAGGAGGAGGCGGUGGCAGAAAGGGCUGGCUGUUUGCUGCUUGAUCUGGCGACUGGGCCGCCCUUCUACUUUGAGGCAGAGAAGAUCAAGCCCCUGCUGCCCUUUGCAGUUCUUCAGGUGUGGAGGAUGGCAGCCCAGGCCAAAGACCAAGACAGCACUUCAUCUAGUGAAGAGGACCUGCUCCAAGAUGUUGAGUUCUGGGAUGACUGAGGGCAAUCAGCUCAUGGACACUGGACAAGCUUGUGGCCAAAAUCAGAGGAAGUUACAGCCCUACAUUCAAGAACGGGAAACAAGAAGUGCCCGAGAAACAGCCCACACGGUCCAUAGAAGGGAGAGAGAAAUCUAAGCAAGCAAAAAUCCAAAAAUAUUCUAAAAAACAGGAAUGAGUAAGUCUUUUCAGUUCCUUUAGAACCUCGAAUACAUUUGUUCCUCUGGCAGACAUCUCACCAGGGAGAACUAUUUCUGACUCUAUCCCUAAAUUAGGUUCUGUAACUGAGAGAAUGGAAGCACCAAAUCAUAAUGCUGAGAUCGGGAUAUCCUUGCCCACAGCAAACAAUUCUCAAGCACAAGUAGGAGGCUCUCUAGAGGCUUUGUUUAACAAUGCAGAUUCAUCGUCUAUCUUGAGGGACUCUCCAGAUCCUUCUGGAUUAGAUACUGCUACAAAUGAGGUUUAUGACCAAGUUAGAUCUGCUUUUUCAGGUUCAUCUGCCUCCUUCUGCCUCUUGACAGCUGAAACAGUGAUAAUCAUCAGUCAGGUUUCUAAUCAAUCGGAAACAAUUUAAAGGAUUUGAAAGGAUCAAGGGAGAGAGGGAAGCACCAAAUGAUCCUACUGAUUUAAUUCUAAAACCAUCAUACUUGCUGCAGGGGGGAAGAGAUUUCUCCCUUAAAACCACCGGUGUCGAAAAACCAGAGAAAUGAUAGAAACAUUCUUCAACAGUGAUGCUAAAGGAGGAAUUGACACAAUUCUCUGAAGCAAGACCCCAAGUUAGAUCUGCAUUUUCAGGUUCAUCUGCCUCCUUCUGCCUCUUGACAGCUGAAACAGUGAUAAUCAUCAGUCAGGUUUCUAAUCAAUCGGAAACAAUUUAAAGGAUUUGAAAGGAUCAAGGGAGAGAGGGAAGCACCAAAUGAUCCUACUGAUUUAAUUUUAAAACCAUCAUACUUGCUGCAGGGGGGAAGAGAUUUCUCCCUUAAAACCACCGGUGUCGAAAAACCAGAGAAAUGAUAGAAACAUUCUUCAAUAGUGAUGCUAAAGGAGGAAUUGACACAAUUCUCUGAAGCAAGACCCCAAGUCAAUUUCUUAGAUCUAAAGUCUCAUCGGCCAUAGGUGGAUAGAAUUUUCAAAAUUGGGAUCAUCUGGAUCCCAUCCAUGAACAUCACAAAGUGAUCCUUGACCCGGAGUUUAUGAAACAGGCAACAUGACUACUGCUUGAAAAGGAUUGUGAGGCCCCUGCUUUUAGGCUGAUUGAAUGUGAAGAAGCUCUACGGAGUAAUGAAGUGAAACAGGUUAAUCAGAAGGUCACCCUGUGGUUGAAAUUGGUGACCAAAAUGUGUGUCUUCUUGACUCAUUUACAGUGGGUAUUGGAAAGAAUCACCCCCUUUGAUAGACCUUAAAUUCUGGUUCCCUUACAUCCUGAAAUGAAAACACAAAGAAAAUUCCCUUCACCAGCUGUACUUAUCCAAUGCAACCUAUAACAUCCAACUGAAAAACAUCACAAUUACAGUCCAGAAACAGUGUCAGAAAUAAAAAACAAGAAUUACUGAGAUUGAAAAAGGAUCACCCCCCCAAUGUCAAUAUUUUGCUGAACCACCUUUUGCUUUAAUAACAGCCUUGAGUCUGUUGGGAUACUUCUCUAUCAACCUUGCACAUCUAGACGGAGCAAUAUUUGCCCACUCCUCCAUACAGAACUGUUCAAGUUCGGUCACAUUGGAUGGUAGGUGUUGGUGGACUGCUAUCUUCAAAUCUCUCCACAGAUUUUCUAUGGGAUUUAGGUCUGGGCUCUGACUGGGCCACAUGAGGACGUUCACUUUCUUCUCCUACAGCCACUGUGUGGUCAAUUUUGCUGUGUGCUUCGGAUCGUUGUCAUGUUGAAAGGUGAAUCUUCUGCCCAUCCUCAACUGUCUGGCAGAGGGUAGCAGGUUUUCUUCCAGAAUCUGACGGUAUUUUGCGCCAUCCAUUUUUCCUUCUACCCUAACGAGAGCCCCAGUCCCUGAGGCAGAGAAACACCCCCACAACAGGAUGCUGCCACCUCCAUGCUUCACUGUAGGUAUGGUGUGUUGUGGAUGGUGAGCUGCGUUGGAUUUACACCAGUGGUACUGUCAGUUGAGGCCAAAUAGUUCAAUCUUGGUCUCAUCGGACCAUAAGACCUUUUUCCAUUUGGCAUCAGAAUCUUCAAGGUGCCUUCUGGCAAAGCUCAAACGAGCUUUAAUGUGGCCUUUCUUGAGAACUGGCUUUCUCCUUGAGACCCUCCCGAACAAGCCACUUUUUUUCCACAUGUUCACUGAACCCUUUAAGUUCAACACCAUUGGAAAGACAGCAUUUGUGGUCUCAACCUUCGUUUGAGGCAAUGGAGGUGAUUCUGUUGGAUUGAAUGGACUCCCUCUGUCAAUUACAAGUUCAGAAGAACCAGCACCCAAUAGAGAAGGAACUGCAAUUCAUCAUUUGGACGUAAUUAAGUGACAUGUAACAUCUGUGAGAUCUGAAAGGCUUUUGUCUUUGAUAACAUGGAGUAUGGCUGGUUGGAGGUCUAAGAUUAAGGAUGUCUCCUUGAUGGAAUCGAUUUCAGAUUCUGAUUUUGUGAUGCUCCAGGAAACAUGGUUGGAUGAAGAGCUUAGUCUAGAUGGUGUUAUCUCUCUCUCUCUCCCUGAAUGCUGUUCCAGGCGUAGGGAGAGGAAGAUGAUGUGGUGGGUGAAGCUGGUUGGUCUCCACUGCUCUUCAAGCAACAUUUGCUCUUAGCAAAAAUAUGUCAUUUGUCCCUACAAUCAGACUCUGUACCAGAGGACUGGGAAGUAGUUAACAAAAAAGGACCCGGUGGCGGGGGGACCCGGAAAACUACAGGCCGGUUAGCUUAACUACUGUGUUGGGUAAAUUGAUGGAAAGCAGGCUUAAGAGCAAAAUUGGUUAAGCACCUAGAAGAACAGGCCUUGCUGAACCAGCCUGGCUUCUGCAAGGGCAAGUCUUGCCUCACUAACGUUUUGGAGCUAUUUGAGAGUGUCAACAGCAUGUGGAUAAAGGUGAUCUGGUUGACAUAAUGUACUGGGGCUUAGCGGUCAUGGGAUAAGGGGAAAGGUUCAUGUGUGGAUUGGUAACUGGUAGGGCUGGGAAAGACCCCUGUCUGAAAACCUUGGAGAAGCCACUGCCAGUCAGUGUAGACAAUACUGAGCGAGAUGGACCAAGGGUCUGACUCCGUGUACGCCAGCUUCCUAUGUUCCUAUGUCACUUAAGCCUGGUUUUAAUCAGUUACUGUUGUGUAAACCUACAGUCCCUUGAACACACCCUGGCAAAUGAGUGUCAUCUUUUCCAGUCUCUUCUCUGACUCUCUUUCCAGAAAGCCAGUGUCUCCUGAAGGCUUGUCUCCAGGAGGAAUUCAUCUUCAGAGAGAAGACUUGGAUUGGCAUCACAUCAGCCUUGGCUCUGCUGCUUGUGCUCAGCGUGAUAGGAAACGUAAGGUUCCUCUUCUGCAGCUCCCGAGAGGAACGCAAGCGUGGCAGAUAUACCUACUACCCGCUGCAGGACAUGAAUGGGGAGGCCGGCCACGAUUGUCCAUGGGACAAGGAAGACCAAGUGGAGGACGCCUGCGCCCCACCUCAGCCUGUGUCAGCAACGCUGUUCUUACAAGAGAAGCCAGAAGACGCUCUCCGUGGCUCAGAUGUUUGGGCACCAUAGCUGAACAUUCUGGUCGUCUUCCAGUGCAGAACCUGGCUGCUUCUCUUACGGGCCUGUGCUCUCUGAAACGGGCCGCUGUCCUCACAAGUAGGUCUACCCAGGGGAAAGGAGCCUAGGAGAUCCUAGGGUGACGAUCUGAUAUUUUGGUUCCUGAGGUGGAAAAUCCAGCUGCUGACCUCUGGUGGGGGAAAACUAAUACGGACCUAAGACUGCCUUAUGCAAGGUCUGGAAUGCCGCCUUGGCAACGCCAGGGUUAUGCUGCUAAGCAUCUAGGCUAUUCCCAAGGCUAUUCCCUUAUCAGCUUUUGUCCUAAAGAAGCGUGCAAAAAUGUGAAACACACACUGGAACAGAGAACUGCAUUCCGGCAGGCCUCUCCGUGAACGUUUUAGACAUCUGAAAUGUCUUGUCUGCACCAGCUAAACAGAUAGCAACAUUUUCUAGGUGGAUUGAUGGGGAUUUAGGGGACGCUGAGACUCCUCCUGCUGCCAAAUUAGGAAUGAUGGAGAGACAGGCUGCUGGGCUUUCAGUCUGAGAGCGCCCACCAACGCAGCCUUUUAAGUUGAUCUAGCUUCAGGUGCCUUUUUAAGGAUGCGGAGACAAGUGAGAGGUGGCUUAUUACCAUGUAAUAUUUGACAAAGGCAAAACCUCACGUAGAAAGAAUGGAUUUCUUAACCUCUUUCCCCUUAUUGUAAUUUUUUUAAAAAAAUGGUCAUCUGUGCCAUCUAUCUGAGCCCCAUGAGUUAACCAAGGUUUGUUUAAUGACUACUAGCCAAGAGGGCUCUUUUAAAAAAUACUCUAGUGAUGGUGGCUAAAUAGAGCCUCCAGAUUCAGGAGCAGUGUGCCUCUUCAUUCCAGAUGCAAACAGGGGAUAGCCAUCACACCAAGUGGAAACAAUAUCAAACCUACAUAGAUCUGUGGAUGGGUCUAGUCCAGUGGGUACUUAUUUUCUUCUUCGUUUGCUAUAUGAACUGCUUUGAACGUUGCUUUUGUUUUAAAAGCAAUGUGUCAAUACUGUAUUCUUAAUCAUAAUGAAGUUGACUCUUAGGCCUUAAUGAAGAUGGCUUAGGCCUUUAACUUAUCACAUCAGAAUUUUUAAGUAUUUUGAAAGAUGUAGAUUUACUUCAAGAAGGUCAGCAGCCUUCCAGUUAAUUUAUUUUAAAGUUUUUAGGCCUGUCUGAGCCAGAAUAUUUAAAUCUCUUGGUUCCCUUCACACCUCUUUUUGUACUGACUGCCAAAGACUGCGGGUUGUGCCACACUUGAACCAUGUGUCUAUGUAUAUAUUUCGGAAUCUAUUUUAUUACCUCUAAUAACUUUUAUGAAAGGCUUGAACAAACCUGGUCUGAAGGAAUCAGCUUUUUAUUGGGUAUAUCCAGUUUUGUAUUACUGGAAUCAUCCUUUGAUCAGUGGUGAGUUAGUGGGCAAAGAAGGGAAAACAUGGUAAUUUCAUGCCAGGAUAGGGGGAAAUGUGUCUCCUUCACCUUUCUGCUAAGAGGAAACAGUAUUCCUAGCUUAACCUGCAGUAUCUGAUACAUAGAGGGGAAUUAUUUCAUUCCCUUUCUGCUUCUGAAGCUUUAAGGUAAGAUCUUAAGAUCACAUCCUCCUCUUGCUGUAUUAUGUAUGUCUUUGUCUUGACCUUUUUUAAAGCUAGAAAAAUCAAUCUAGAUAGUUUCAAGCUACUGUUUCCAUUACAAAAAUAACCUACAAAUUAAUCCUACAUGUUCCCACUGGCAAGAGAACAUCUGCUGUGAGGCCAUAUUAAAUGUUUAGUGCCAUACUUACCAAAAAUUCAUCAAUACCAAUCAGAAUUCUUAGAUAUAGCUUCUGAUUCCGUUACUGGAAAAGUGAUACCAUGCCCGAUUCCUUGGAAUUGCCCACUCACACUACUCAUUCCCCUGGCUAAAGGGCUGUAUGCACACACAUAUAUUCACCCACCCUCUUACUGAAAAAUGCAGGGAUCAAAAAGGUGCAUAAAAACACACUCGUUUAUUAGGAAUCAAAACUUAAACACAAGCAGACCAGUUUUCUUCUCUUCCAGCUUGUAAUAAAUUACAAAUGACAAAAGCAA